rnacentral:rRNA from 1 species
GGUCUGGCUGGCGGGUCCGCCUCACCGCGUGCACUUGUCCGGCCGGGCCUUUCCUUCUGGAGAACCUCAUGCCCUUCACUGGGCGUGUUGGGGAACCAGGACUUUUACUUUGAAAAAAUUAGAGUGUUCAAAGCAGGCUUAUGUCUGAAUACAUUAGCAUGGAAUAAUAGAAUAGGACGG